rnacentral:rRNA from 1 species
GACAAACGCUGGCGGCGUGCCUAAUACAUGCAAGUAGAACGCUGAAGGAGGAGCUUGCUCUUUCCGGAUGAGUUGCGAACGGGUGAGUAACGCGUAGGUAACCUGCCUGGUAGCGGGGGAUAACUAUUGGAAACGAUAGCUAAUACCGCAUAACAGUAGAUAUCGCAUGAUAGCUGCUUGAAAGGUGCAAUUGCACCACUACCAGAUGGACCUGCGUUGUAUUAGCUAGUUGGUGAGGUAACGGCUCACCAAGGCGACGAUACAUAGCCGACCUGAGAGGGUGAUCGGCCACACUGGGACUGAGACACGGCCCAGACUCCUACGGGAGGCAGCAGUAGGGAAUCUUCGGCAAUGGACGGAAGUCUGACCGAGCAACGCCGCGUGAGUGAAGAAGGUUUUCGGAUCGUAAAGCUCUGUUGUAAGAGAAGAACGAGUGUGAGAGUGGAAAGUUCACACUGUGACGGUAUCUUACCAGAAAGGGACGGCUAACUACGUGCCAGCAGCCGCGGUAAUACGUAGGUCUCGAGCGUUGUCCGGAUUUAUUGGGCGUAAAGCGAGCGCAGGCGGUUAGAUAAGUCUGAAGUUAAAGGCUGUGGCUUAACCAUAGUACGCUUUGGAAACUGUUUAACUUGAGUGCAAGAGGGGAGAGUGGAAUUCCAUGUGUAGCGGUGAAAUGCGUAGAUAUAUGGAGGAACACCGGUGGCGAAAGCGGCUCUCUGGCUUGUAACUGACGCUGAGGCUCGAAAGCGUGGGGAGCAAACAGG